rnacentral:rRNA from 1 species
UACGGGGGGGGUAAGCGUUGUUCGGAAUUACUGGGCGUAAAGGGCGCGUAGGCGGGCCAUCAAGUCAGGGGUGAAAUCCUCCGGCCUAACCGGAGAACGGCUUUUGAUACUGGUGGUCUCGAGGGGGGUAGGGGCAUGCGGAACUUCCGGUGGAGCGGUGAAAUGCGCAGAUAUCAGGAGGAACACCGAUGGCGAAGGCAGGUCUCUGGGCCGAUACUGACGCUGAGGAGCGAAAGCGUGGGGAGCGAACAGG